rnacentral:lncRNA from 1 species
UGGUACAACAAAUAGUAAAUAGAUAUAGGAAGAAUGCCAAGCAGCACUAUAUCAAUACUCCUAGAAAAGGCCUAUGUUAAUCACCUCUGAACACCGCUAGGACUAACACCAAGAUCUGCACAAGAAGUGUAUAAGUGUAGUAUGAGUACAACUAACCCCAUGUACUAAGUAAGAAUUGAGCUUAACCUCGACAAGGUAGUGAUGAGGCUACUACAAGAUACUCACUUUAAAGUUGCACGAGUAAUAAACAGAAAACAAUGGAAUUAUAAAGAAAUGAAAAAUAACCUUAAUGAAUGGAAUAAGAGAAUAGAUAGUAGAGGUCCCUAGAAUAUCAUCACAUCACAACCUCAUAACAACACUGUUGUCACACCUCCUUUUUCCCGAUAGGAGGAUAGGGAGUUUUUCCAAUUAAAGUGACAAUAAUCAAAAUGGAAUUAUUUUUUCAAAUCAGAGUCGCCACUUGGGAUAAUUAUAUGGUGUCCCAAGUCACCGGUUUAUUUUAAAUACCUAAUCGAGGAAAAUUGACUGUGUUUUAAAGUCUACGAAACCAGAAGACCGGGUAACGAAUUCUGUUAACCCAGGAAAAGGUGUAGGCAUUCCCGAAUUUCGUGGUUUUAGCACGGUUGCUUUAAUCAUACCUGGCUUAAUGAAUUUGUUUAAUUACGUGUUUUAGAACAUAUGUGCAUUUUUCAUUUUACCGCUUUUAAUUAAGAAAUUAUCCUAAAGCAAGUCACGCGAACGUGUACUCAUUUCGUUUGGCGCGUCAAGAAUCAUGUCACGCGUACUUAUCCACAAUUAAUUAUGCUUUAUUAACAUUAAGAAAGUUUGGUUGAAGUUGCGAGAACGCAUACCUCGAUUUAUUUAUAGGAAUCGUUAUUAUGUCACACGAACGUAUACAUAAUCCCGAGGAUUCGAUUAAUUAGUGUGCCUAAAGCAUUCUAACGAUUGAAAGUAAAAGAAUAAAAACCGUAGGAUAUUUCUGAUGCUCAAGCUUCUUAAAUUGAGAUUGGCUCUUCCUAAAAAAAAUGAGCACAACCAACAAAAUCCAAGUAUAACCAUUUUGAAACUAGAGAAAGAAAGAGUAUAAAUAAUUAAAUAAACAAACAUACAUACAAACUGAUUAUUUCCCCUCACCCUAUUUCACCACUCAAAAGAUACAAGAGUACACAGAAAGAUGACAAAAUAUCUCAAGCAAAUAUGCAAAAAUUGUAUCAAAGAUACUUGCACCUUUCUGACAGUAUAAAAAUGCUAGAUCUAAUUACAACGGAGGAUGCAGAUCAAAAGAUGAAAACGACAGAGAAGUUGGAAUUUUACCUAAGAUCAGUACCAAAGUCACAAAAUCUUAAAAUUUUCUUCCAUCACACAAUAAGGACAUCUUGUCUUGUUAACAUUACAAUGAUUACCGGUAAAAUCUGUGUGGAAUAAACCGCGAUCGGAGAUGACAGAUGGAACUUAGAACUGAAAAUUCUUCGGCGACCUUGACUUCAAGCACAAAGCUUCAAUGUAAGAUUUCAGAACUAAUAAUGGUAGCCUUUUCGUGUAAGUUUUCAGCUGGUAUAGAGGGAUUUAUAGGAGAAGAAACUGAAGUGUUGAUGGCUAUUUUUCAGCUGAUUUUUAGUUCUGUUUAGGCUGAGAAAGCGAUGGUUUUUGAGCUAGUUCUUGGGGCUGGAGAUGAGGAGUUGGGUGGCGGAUUGUAAAAGAUGAUGGUGUGGCUGCUGAAGAUGGAAGGGCCUGGGUUGGGUGAAUUUCAGCUGUGUUUAGAGAUGGAGCAGGGUGGGGAACUACCGAACCCGCCGGUUGUCUAGUUCGGCGGCUGGUUCUCCGGUUAUGGGGGUAGAGGUCGACGGCUGCUUCUAAGCUUUGAGGAAGAAGCUAAUGCACAGCUCCUCUCUAACUCUAGGGCCUUCUUAUGUUUUUUUUUUAGGUUUGUUUUAUGUAUUUAUGGGAAGGGGCUUAUGGUUAAGGGGAAUGGCCUAUCCGAAUUUGGGCUCGAAAGUUGGGUUGGGUCCAUAGGGUAAUGGUGUAGGGAUGUCC